GUAGAUAAUACCAUGUCAUUAGGGCUUUAGUGGUGGUAGGUAGAGAUUAUUUGGGAGACCAUAUCUCAGUACCUCUGUGUGAAGUCAAUUAUUUUUUACCUUCUCUGCAAAGGCAGUAUCCUAAAAAGGAAAACACCAAGGUGUAGCUUGCUUUCUGGGAGACCAAAGUUCUCAGUUUGAGCCCCUACUUAGCCACCAGCUUGCCCAGCAACCCUCCCUGCAUUUCCCUCUCUUGGAGAGUAACCCCUGUCUGUCCAUCCUCCUCCCAAUGAGGAACCAGAGGAGGCAUAUGUUUGAGAGUGCUUUGUCAAAUAUCCCAAAGGGUCAGAUAUGACUCUUCUCCAGAGACUAAUCUGGGUGGUUCUGGCCUCUCACUAUUUUUCUGGGCAGCUUGUGUGGAGCGUGUACUUGGAUAGCUCAACACCUUUUCCAAAGCCAAACCCUCUGACAGCCUCCUGCCCUACACUGGUAGUGGUGAACCUCCAAGGAGGGGGCAGGGAGGCAAUUGCUAAGGCCCUGGGGCUGAUUCCCAUCCACUUUCCACGUGGCUUUGCUCUCUUUACUCUUCUCUAGGUCUCUGUUUCCCCAUUUAUAGGUCAAGGAGGGGGCUGGACGAAGAAGUCUUUAACAUUUCCAAAGCUGUCUUCUGUGAAACAUCAGUGACAUUUAUCUCCUUGUUAUUUUAGUCUUAGAGAUAGUGGUUGAAAGAAAGUGUAUUAAGACAAUCAAGUGUUUAAUCAAAGGAUCUUUUGCAUUAAAAAAUAAACUUGAAAUCUCUUGCGUGCAGAACUGUCAAGGAUCUUAACUUAGAGCCAAAGAAGACAUGGAAGUGUCUAUGAGGCAGGAAAGGCAGACAAAGCCCUUCAGCAAUUCCAUAUUGUUUAUGGGCCCAAUCCUUUGGCUUGGUCAUCAAGGCCCUGCACAACCCUUGAAGAUAAGGGGCUUAGUCUUUGUUCCUUGACCAAGCACAGAACCUACCUGACCAGGCCUGGCAUAGUACCUGCUGGUUGGCUGACCUGGUGGCUAGAUGGAUAGGUGGUUCAAUCAAUUGCUAAGAGUCCCUAAGUAAUUGGGUGGCCCAGUCUUUCCUAGAAGGAAAGGAACUCAGUUUGCCUCCCAAAUCUCUUGGCAACUCUGAAGUGACAGAGAUUAUCUUUCAGCCUCAAGACUAGUAUUUUGAACAAAGAUAUGUGAGAAGAACCUUAUAAAAGACUGCCUAGCCUGGCAUCCUCACUGUAGCAACAGCCCACAUGUGUUUUAAGAGUAGCCCCACCAGGUGGUAGACACCCUGUAAGAUCUGGAUGUCGGUGGACUCCUGAGUCACUUGUAAGCCAAGGGGCUUCCCUCUUCUUCCCUCCCUCUACCUUUCCCAUACCCUAACUCUGCAUAUGGGACUUCCCCAGCUUUCCCGCUUUUAUGAGUUCCUCCCCAUAGGCCAACAGGCAGGUGAGCUUGCAGGAGUGCAGAUCGUGAACCACUGUUUCACAGAGAAUUGACCAAAGCUCUGCUGAGAGGUUUCUCGACUUGCCCAAGAGUUCACAGCUAGGGCAGGCUGCCUUUGAUUCCUGAACUCUGAUCACAUCUUAGGUGGUCCUCUGUGUUGCUCAUUUUCCCACUUCCAUCGUCUUCUCCCCUCCUAGAUCAUGAGUGUCCUCUUUAGAGUAACAAUCUGAGAACUCCUGCAGCCAUGCCCUACUGCCACACACACCCAUGUGAGCCCAUCACCAAGAUUUAAAGUCUUUGGUCCUAUUCCCUCAGACUAUUCUAGGGAAAAACCUGUCCUCAGUCCAACCCCCAGACUCCAGCUGCAAUCCUGUGGGGUUUAGACUACUAUUCACUGAUGGGGUGGGCCAUUUGGGGGGCUGCUUUUUGGUGGUUGGCUUUUGGUUUUGUUUGUUUUUACUUACUGGCCAAAUAGGAUCCAGUUCUUAUUUCUACCCUCGGAGCCAUUUUUAUAAAUGCCAUAUGGUUCCAUUUUGUACUGACAGGAACUGGGGACCACAGGCACAUAGCACACACCACAGCUACUGUGACUAAUAGCCCUGGCAGCUGUGCCCUCCUUACAGUCUGGGUGUGCAGUAUGAGUGAUGUCCAGAACCAGUAAGAUUGGAUUGGGCCUCCCGAUCCCUGGUUGUGAUGACACCACUGCACCUCUAGUCCCGUCUCUCCGGUCCCUUGAUCUUUCCUAUAUCCAUCUCCUUCUUUUAAUUCAGAUCACUCUUGCAGGAGAGUUGCACCAGAUGUCUCUCUGCUUUCAAUCUUGUCUCUUUCAACCCAUCAACCAAAUGGCCACCAUUGGCCAUCUUUACUAGCUUAGGUCAUGUUCUGUGGCUCUUGGCCUAACUUUGUCCAUCCCUAUUCCCUAGAGGAUGGCAUUCUGUUAAUGGAGCAGAGCAUUUCACAGUCUGGUUCCCUACCCCUAGGCGUUCCUGCUCUGCUUCUGCAGGUACCCAGCCAGAGGAGCCCACCUGUCCUCCCAGAAGAGAUGUCCUUCACUUGAGAGUCCAGGAGAUCGCCCAGGGAGAAGGUGUGGAGGGAGGGGUUUUGAGAAGGAAUGUGAAGUCCCCGGUGGUAAGCAACACCAGCAAGACGACCAAGAAGAGGCAGUUGGGUUGGUCAGUUAGGAGGUCUUGUCAUCCAUCUUGGGGUUAGCAGAGGAUUAGAGACAGAUACCACAUCACUAUGGGAAGAGAAGAGAAUAAGAGGAAGAAGUGGAGACGAGAGGAACAGAUCACCUCUUCCAACUAUGAAGGGAAAGAGAAGGAUAAGUGGACGUGACCCGUUUGGACUGUUCUUUUUUGGUUUAGCUAAUAUUUGGCCUGUGCUUUUCUGGAUCAGGCCCUGAUGAGCAUUUUGUCAACAGUACCUCCCUGAAACCUUAAGAGAACAUCCUAGGGUUGACAUGGUUUUACCCACUAUACAGAGCUUCAAAACAUGAAGGCACUUGCCCAAGAUGGGGGCAAAGCUGGGAUUUGUGUCCCAUUCUGUUGCCCUUCAGAGCCUCACUUUCACCACUGUCCUUGUCUUCCCUAUAGUCAUGAGGGGAAGGAGGUAGAGGGCUGCCUGAGGUUAGGGAGCUGGGGCAAAGGCACCAGGGAGGUUCCCGGUGCUCAGAUAGGACUGGAAGUCUGGGACAUAACACUUUUCAGAGGGGGAAGGGGUCAGGGAACAGAGGCUAUUUUUAAUAGCCAAAUAGGAGAUAUAAGCUCAUUAAAAACCAGAAGGAAAGGAAUAAAAUGUUUAACAAGUGUCUGAGUGGAGGACCUCCUUCAAGCUGAAGCAAUGAAAUGACAUCAAGAAGACAAAGGCCAACAGUGAACAGGGAUAAGUGAUGGCCUGUGUCCCAAGUGGCCUGGAGUGGACGGCACUAGAUGGACAGGUAGGGGCUUAGCCUUGGAUAGCAAGCAUGCAACGACCCACCCACCCAAACCUGGGAGGCUUAGCACUCAGCAGGUGACCUCAUCUGUCCUCAAGCCAUCACUGGGAGGUGCUCAAUAAAUAUUUGUUGGGGUGAAAUAACUGAAAUGGGAAAUUAGAUCAAAGAGGAAAAAUACCAGCGUUAAGCUAUUGAUGAUAGAAGAAGGGGCUGGGUGUGGUGGCUCACACCUAUAAUCUCAGCACUUUGGGAAGCCAAGGUGGGUGGAUCGCCUGAGGCCAGGAGUUCGAGACUAGCCUGACCAACAUGGCAAAAACCCCAUCUCUACUAAAAAUACAAAAAAUUAGCUGGGCGUGGUGGCAUGCACCUGUAACCCCAGCUACUCAGGUGACUGAGGCAUGAGAAUCGCUUAAACCCAGGAGACAGAGCUGCAGUGAGCUGAGAUCAUGCUGCUGCGCUCCAGCCUCGGUGACAGGGCGAGACCCUGUCUCAAAAAAAAAAAAAAAAGAGAGAAGCAGCCCAGGAUCCACCCUUGGCUCGUUAAGUCGGGCUGCCUGGAGUGUUGAGAAUUGACACCUACAUGGUGGUCAGUACUAGGACGACCAGACUCUCCUAUGGGCACAGUUCUGUACAGUUUACAAGGGUUUUGUUUUUUUCUUUUUUUGGGGGGGGUCUCACAUACUCAUGAUAUUCCCCAUUUAGGGUCUUGAGGUUUGAGGACCCUGUUAGACUUACCCUCAGUCUGUUGGGUGAGUUUGCUUCUAUCAUCUUGGAUUCUUGAUUAUCCCUAUUUUUUAGAGGAGGGAACAAACUUCAGGUCUUCCAGAAAGAACUGGCAAAAAGAGGCCUGUAUUCCUCUAACUUCACUGUCUUCUUUACACACCAUGCCACUUUCCUGAACAAUAUACAAGUUCAUCAUGUAAUUAUUUUAGAACCCAGGGUCCAAAUAUUUUUAUGGUCAAGAUUCGAUGGGCAAAGUCCUCACACUGAGUUCUCCCAGCAAGGAUGCUUUCCACUCACUUGCUGGGUGGCUGCGGGUCACCUCCCCUCACUGGGCCUUGGGUUCCCCAUCUGUGAAAUGAGGUAGUUGGAUUAGAUAUUCCACAGUUCCCUUCCAGCUCUAGCAUUACCCUCAGAUACCCUCAUGCCUAAAGCAGUAAUUGAACAAGGGGCGUGGUGACCCCAGGUUCUGGGUCAGGUCCUCAUCUUGCGGCACGGAGGAAUCGUGAUGAUGGCUGCAGCCCCCAGAAGAUGAACUUGAGAGGAGCUGGCUGAGAUGAUUUUUCAGCUGAUGGUGAAAUGUGCUGGCAGAGUCUCUACAGAAUUGGAAGCCUCCAGGACAGGUGGAUGCCAGCUGGAUUUAGCCAUUCACAUUGGCAAAGUAGGUGAUCUAUCUUUACGCACACUCUUCUGUCAGAGCUUCCAGAAAGGCUUUCUGCUCCCAUCCCUUAAACACCUCCCUGUCUUUCACUGUCACUGUGCCUGGAAUCGUACCCUCCUGUAGCCUUUCAGUUCCUGUUCAGGUGGUAUGUGCUCUGAGAAGGCUGUGACCAUAAAUGCUAUAAUCAGCCAGGAAUAGCUAAGCUCAGAGCCAGAGCCAAGAAUGGAAGGGUUACCCAAAAUUGAGGCAUGGACUGUUGAUUGACUAAAAAGAGAAAAAGUCCAUUCCAACUUCACCACAGAGCACACACCCAAAUUUGAAAAUUAUUUUCAAAGGUCAAAAGGAAAAAUGAGCCCAUUAAAAACCAGAGGGAAAGGGAAUAUAUAACAAGUGACUGAAUGGGGAGCCCAUUUAAGCUAAAAAGCAACAAAAUGACAUCAAGAAGGCAAAGGCCAACCAAUUUGACUCCAUUAAAACUAAAUAUUUUCAAAGUCAAGUAAUAUCACAACCAAAAAGCAGAGUGGUUGCAGAUUCUUAAUGUAUUAAAAAAACACACCCAAAACCCAAUAGUAAAAGCAAAACAGGUGUGUGUAAGUCGCCUAAAUUGAGUUUACAGGAAAAGAAAUGGAAUUGACUAAAAAAAUUUUUGAAAAAACAUUCAACUUCACUAAUAACCAAAGAUCAACAAUAAAAACAACAAGGAAAUAUAAAUUUUCCCUAACAAAUUAGGGGGAAAAAUUUAAGAAUACCCAAUGUUGAUGAGGAUAGUGGAAUAGGCACUGUUUUACACUACUGGGGGGAAUGUGAAUUGGUGUACACUUCUUGGAAAGUUGGAAGAAGAGAGAAAUUUUCAGAGAGUAAGUGGCCUGUAACUUUACUCAACAUUUAUUGAGUCUCUACUUUGUGUCAGGCGUGAUGAUACGUUUUAAAAUAUUGGCCAGGCACAGUGGCUCACGUUUGUAAUCUCAGCAUUUUAGGAGGCCAAGGCAGGAGGGUUGCUUGAGCUCAGAAGUUCAAGACCAGCCUCGGCCACAUAGCAAGACCCUGUAUCUAUAAAAGUAUAACACACACACACACACACACACACACAAAGAUAAAUAUGAUCCUUGCCCUUGGGAGUUCAGAGUUAAGAAAGACACACAGACAGACACUAAAAUGAUACAUAGGAAGGAGAAGGCCAGAGAGAUGCCUGGGACAUGGGAGCAUGGGCAGCUGGGGUUGGUGGUGCAGAUUUCAUGGGAAUAUCCAAGGAGGUUCCUAGAAGAGGUGACUGGAUAGGUAGAAGUUAUUCAAGUAGAAGGCAGAGGUAGAGGUGAGAGGCAUCAUGGAUGAACUCAUAGACAGCUGGGGGUUGCUGAAGUAUGAAAUGAGAGGCUAGGGGUGGAGAAAGCAGAACCAGCUCACAUAGUGCUAGUAUGUCUAAUUCAAGACUUGGGUGUUCAGUUGCAACAGGGAGCCCCUGAAGCGUUUUGUGCAAGCAGGUGCCAUGGUAGGAUUUCUCUUUUGGAGUGAUUACUCUGGUUGCUUAGAGAAAUUUGGAGGCAUGUGGGCCAGAGAGGAGAUGAUUGCCUUGGUCCAGGUAGGGUCCAGGAGGGAUAAGGGUAGGGGCCAAGAGGAUGGGAGGAAGUGGUCAGAUCCAGGAGGUGAAAUUGGGAGAAUCUGCGGACUGGUUGGUUGCUGGUGUUAAAGAAAGACAGUAAAGGAUACCUUUCCUAUUUUCUGUCAUGAGUGACUGGGUGAAAGGAAGAACACCCAGGAGAAAGAGCAGAUUUGGGGGCUGAGAGAAAAUUGUUGAGCUCAGUUUUGGACAGGUUGAGUCAGAGGUGAGCAUCCAGGAGGAGGUGGCCUGCAAGAAGCUAGAUAGAGGGUCUAGAUCCCAGCAGCAGAUUUAAACAAGAGAUUUGGAUUGAAACUUUGGUGCUUGUAGCCAUGGGCUUUGGUGAACUGGCUGUAGGAGAACGCACCAGCUGAGAAAAGAGAGGGGGUCCAAGAACAAGAGCCUUGCCCCCAUUUAAGGGGUGGGCAGAGAGAGGGGAGCCCACAAAGGCGAAAAAGAAGUCAGACGUAGAAAAAGCACAUGCAGGCUAUGUUGGCAUGGAAACCUGGGGAUGUGGAGCACUUUCAAAAGAGAGCCACCAACAGACAAAAGAGAAAGGCCAGCUAGACAGGGACCGAGAGCCCACUGGAUGUGGUCAUUAGGGGCCACUAGACCCUCAUCAAGAGCAGUUUCCUGUGAGAGACGGGACAGAGGAAAAUGAAAGGGUAAGGAAAGCAGGCAGCAUGGCCACCUCUCAGGGAAAGCUGCUAGAGUAACAGUUUGGGCCAGGGGACAAUUUCUGAGCUGGCUCUGGACUGAGAUGACAUAAGGAUAGAUGUGAUAGGAGCAGUCCAGAAGGCUAUCACCUAGAGUCCUCCUGCCUGUCUGAGUCAGAGGUAGGAGCAAAGGGCGAGGGUGGGCAAGGAAGGAAAAUGUGCAUAGCUGGCAUCAAGUAGGAAAGUAUAUGUGCCAGUUGGGAGCUCACCAAAGAAAGUGUGGGCAUCUCAACAGGGAUAGAUGAAGAACCAGAGAUGCACUCAAAGAAGAAGGACAAGGCCAGAAACGAGUUCAUGACAUUUUAGGAAUAGGUACAGGAAGAGAGUUCUGCUGAGACAGAGAAGGAGGGGCCAGAGGAGAAGACCAAAAACAUGGGGUUCCUAGAACCCAGAGGAGAGUUUCCAAAAGGGCAGAGUGGGCACUGGUGGGCCAUAUGCACAGAGGUUAGCAGAGGCUCAGGCAUCUCCCAGACCUGGCCUUUGGGGACUUUUGUCACAGCAACUUUGGGGCAAGGGGCAGAAGCUCCUCUUGGUGUGGGGGGAAUGAACUGAGUCUGGCUGAGAAAGGAGGGAGGGGGAGCUGGAGCAGGCAGCGGGUCCAGGAAGGACCUGAUUCUUCCAGGAGACACAGGAAGCAGGAAGCAGUGCAAGCCCAGUCGGAAGAGCAGGGCUGGGCAGUGAGAGGGGCCCUGGAGCUCUGGGAUUAAGUGUAGAGGUGAAGGGAUUAGUCGUAUUGGUGGAAAGGGACAAAAGUAAAUUAUGUACAUUUUAGCAAGUAACCUGAUCUCCAUGUUCUUUGGGAGGCCUUUUCUCUGCCCUCUGCGUACUGACUCCAGCUCUAAUUAGCACGGUUUCGUCUGCCUCAUGGCUGGGGCUAUGUCUUUCUCAUUUUUUUUGUACCUUUCGGCACCUAGCAACAGGCAGCCAGCUAGGCAGGGGCAGAAUAAUUAUUUUCUGCUUGAAAUCCAGUGUCUGAAAUGGAGAUUCAGAAGUUUUUCUUUGUAUCAAAAAGACUUUGUGACAACAUCCAGGGAGCAAUGAAGUAGGUGAGGCCCAGGUCACAGGCUUGAAUGGGACAUUCAGGGUCUCAGUAGUAGUUCUAUUUGUUGGUAUUGCCUAGACAUCAAAGAAUUCUAUUUCUUCCCUAUCUGGACAGAAGUCAAAAGUCCAGAGAGAGGCUUGGUUUAGCUGGCUGGGCUUGGGCCUUGUGCCACCCUCUGAUAGGACCUGGGUGGUAAGAGGCAGGAUCUGGAGGAGGGCCCUCCAUGGCUUCCAUGUGAGAGAACGGCGCAGGUCCCACCACAGCCACAUAAGAUGGAAAAUUUCCCAAGAAGUAAUAAGGGGCUUCAGGGAAGAGUAAGUCAUGCUAAAAAGCCAAAACUCUCAGAUAUCCAUUAGAAGAAGUAGCCAGCUCAGAGGCAGGAGACUUCCAGGUAAGAGAGGGAAAGGCCUGAACUAGACCAGUGGGGAUGGAGAGAGAUCAGAACUUGUGGUAGAUAAAACCCAGAAAUAAUUAGUGGGUGCUUAUCUGUGAGAGUGAGAGAGAAAGUCAAGCCAAAGGUAAUUCCCAUGUGUCUUGGUUUUGUUUGUUUGUAGGACAGGGUCUCACCAUGUUGCCCAGGCUGGUCUCCCAUCUCCAGGGCUCAAGCAAUCUUCCCACUUUGGCCUCCCAAAGUGCUGCAGUUACAGGCAUGAGCCACCGUGCCCAACCCCAUGUAUCUUGAGUAGAGUCCUGGGUGGAUGGUGGGGAGGCCCCUGGGGUGGGGAACACAGCAUGGAGAGCUAGUUUGAGCGACAGGAUAGUGGACUCAGACACAGCCAAGUGGGACCCAGCAGACACUUGGAUCCUGGUGUCUAGGGCUCAGGAAGAGAUUCAGUUGGAAGCACUAGCCCAGGGCUGUCACCACUCAGAGUAAUGGGGACCCAGAGCAUAAGUGAGAUCACCAGGGAGAGAGUGUAGAGAAAAAUGGGAGAGGGCCCAGGGCAGAAUCAUGAGUCAUAGUGACAUUUGAGGAGCCAGGUGUGGGCAGGCAAAAAAGGAGAAAGAGAAGGAAGGGCCUGAGAGAUGCGACAAACAACCAGGAGAGGGGGUUGCCAUGACGACCAAGGUAGGGAAGAGUUUCAAGGAGAAAGUAAUCAACACUGUCAAAUGCAGCAGAGAAUUCCAAUAAGACAGAGAAUUUUUCCUUUGGAUUUCAUUAGUAAGUUUUGAUGGCCUUAAGAGCAUGCUGAGGGAGUGAUGGCCUUGGCUAGAAUAAUGGUGAGAUGUGAGAGGACAUGGAUCUGGCACUAAGAGUCCUCUAAGGAGUCCAGAAGGAAGACUUGGAGAUGUGAAGGGUAGGGGCUGGGAGGCUGGGGCUAGGAAAGAUGAGCAGGUGUAUAGGCUGAGCUCCCAAAGUGUUCAGCAUCCAUUGUUUAAUAUGAAAGUUGAUACAUGCCACGUAAUUCUCUUGUAGCACCUAAUUGUGUGCCCAGCCCAGCAGUGUGCCUAGCCCUGUGGAUACUUGGGUGAAUGAAUUAAAAUAGAAUCCCUGUUCUCAUGGAGCGUGCAUGGUAGUAGGGGAGAAAGACAUAGUCAGACAAUCACAUAUGUAAAUGUACAAUUUCCAACACUGAUAGGCACUCUGAAGGAAAGGUACUGAGUACUGAAGGGUGUGCGACCAGGGGACCUGCCCUCAUCUGACUCUGGGAGGCUUCCCUGAGGAGGUGUUCCUCCAAACCAAGAUAGGGAGGAGAGAACAAAGUUAACAACAAAGCAAAUUGGAAAGCAUUCUGAGCAAAGGGCCUGACUAGGGAGGAAGGAGAGGUGAGACCAGAGAGGCAAGCGGUUCUGGCUAUGCAGAGCUUUGGAGACCAGGGCUGAGCUCCUGCCAACAUCCUGAGGGCGAGGGAAGCAGGGGAUGUGACCUGCCCUGGUAUGUUGCUGUAAUCUGCCUGAGACUCUGGCUGUUCUGUGGAGAAAUCAUUACAGCAGCAUGGGUAGACAGGGAGGCAAGUUUGGAAGCUUUGUUAUAGUGGACAGGAUUUGGACACGAUCUGCAUAUUCUGGUUAGUCUUGAUGCUAGAUGGAAUGAAGAGGGACUGGAAGAGGGCAGCAUUCAGGAUGACCCCUGAGCUUCUGGUUUGCCUUACUGGUGAGAUGGCAAUGCCAUUUUCAGAGCUGAGGAGCACUGGAAAGGGGCCAGGUCUAUAAGGUAGACCCCAAGUCCAGCGGUAACAGCUGAGACAUCCCAAUGGAGAUGGGGAAGAAAUGGCUGAAGGCACAGCUCCAGAGCACAAGGUGAGAAAUUGCGGAGACCAGUCCAGGGCUCUGGGGGGCUCCCAAAUGGAAAUAUGGAUCCAGAUGUUGACAGGCUUCUGGGGCAUUUUUAGGCCCAACAAAGAAAUCAAGCCCAAGGAGCACCAACAUUUGGAGAUUAGAAAAGAGAAGAAGAAUCCUCUGAGAGCACUGAAAAGAAAGAGCUGGGAGGUGUCUCAGCAGAAAGAUGGGGUGGUCAGCAAGUGGGUGUGUGCAGAGAGGUCAGGAGGACCAGGGCGAUCCCUGAGCUCCUCCAGUGUGCACCUGCACAACUUCCAUGGUGCCUCUGGAAUUGGGCAGCAUGGUGGCCCUGCUGAUUGGCACCCCAAAGGGCCAUUGGGGGACCUCUGAGAAUCUCUGCCAGAGCAGUUUGGGUGGGAGUUGAUUAAGGAAAGAAGAAGCAAGAUCCAGGACUUCUCAUCUUAAAGGAGAGAGCAGUGCUGGCAGAUGAACAUUCUGAGGAUAAGGAGCCUGAGUAAUUGAGCGAUUGGGGAUGGAGACAAUUAGUGAGAUGAGCUCCCGAAGGGGCUGGGAUCAACUGUGGAGGUGGAUAAAUUCAUUUGGAGGCAAUAAUAUGUAUUUGACUGAAUGGGGCAAAAUUAAAUUAUGUACCUUUUAGAGAGUAACUUGAUCUCCAUGUUCUUUUGGGAGCUUUUAUCCGACCCGUGUACCAACUGUAGUUCUAAUUAGCACCAGUUUUAUCCUGUCUUUUGGCUGGGAUUAUGUCUUAUUAUUUUGUGUGUUUCUCAGCACCUAGCAACAGGUAGUAAGCUCCUUUGGUGCCGAAUCAGUAUUUUCUGCCUUGGAAUUAAAUGUCAGAAGUCAGCACUCCAACUUCUUUUGACCAAAAAGAUUCUACAAUUAUCCAGAAGUUACAAUGCAAGGAAGAAGAACUGGAUGUUAAGUCUUGUGUAGCAGGGAUUAUGGGGAGUGGAUCAAGACAAAGUAGAGGUAUCUGCUCCCCUCAUCCUUGUAAGCUCCAUGCCAUUUAUCCAUGCUCACAUUCAUCAUCUCAUACGAGCUUCACAUUUCCCCACAAGAAAUGGAGCGUUACCCCAUUACCUACUCAUAGAGGAGGAACUGGAAGCCAGAGAGGGAGAUGCCUUAUUGACACAGAACACAAGUGGCAGGAGCUGGCUUCAGACCUCAGUCCAUUCGGUAUGGCAGUCCCUCUUCCCAGGACCAGGUGGAGCUGGAGAGAAAGAGGGAGAGGAGUCUGUGAGGUCCAGAUGGAGAUGCUCAGCUGGCCCUUUCCAAAGGUGGGAGGUGAGGUCGGCCUGGAACCCUACCGGAUGCUAAAGUGUCCUGCCACACUGUGCUGAUGAAAGCAGGUCCCCACCGCAGCGUAUAUACAUUGUGUGUUUGCAUCUAAAACGUCUAUAGUUGUUUGAAAUGUUUAAAUCUUUAACCCAUCUGAGAUGUAUUUUCAUGUAUGGUGUGACACAGAGCUCUAAUCUGCUCUUUUUCCAAAUAGGUAUCCAGUUUGCUAAGCAUUUAUUGUUCCAACACCAUCUUUUCUCUCAAUUCCCUGUCUAGACUCCAGUUCUGUUGAUCUGUUUGUCUAUUUCUGAGCUAAUAGUACAUAUUAAUGAGCAAAGCUUAAUAAAGUGUCUUAUGGCCUGAUAAGAUGAGCACUCCACCCUUCCCCCAAGGCCUUUAUUCCUUUUUUUCUUUUUGAGACGGAGUCUUCCUCUGCCGCCCAGGCUGGGGUACAGUGGUACAGUCUCUGCUCACUGCAACCUCCGCCCCCCGGGUUCAAGUGAUUCUUCUGCCUCAGCCUCAUGAGUAGCUGGGACUACAGGCACGCACCACCAUGCCUGGCUAAUUUUUGUAUUUUUUGGUAGACAUAGGGUUUCAUCAUAUUGGCCAGGCUAGUCUCGAACUCCUGACCUCAAGUGAUCCACCCACCUCGGCCUUCCAAGGUACUGGCAUUACAGGCAUGAGCCACCGUGCCCAGCUCCUUAUUCUUUUUUAAAAUUGUCUUGGUCACAUUGCACAUUUACUUUUUCAGGUACAUUUUAUCAUCAGCUUGUCAAAGUUCUGUGAACUUUGUGAAUAUCUGUUGGAAGUCUGAGAAGAAUUGCAUUGAAGGGGAAAUUAACAACUUUAGAGUAUCAGUUCUUCCCAUCUAUGGACAUGGUGUCUAUCUCCUUUUAAUCAGAAUUGUAUUUGUUUUGUUUUGUUUUGUUUUUAAUGCCUUUUAAUAAAGGUUGGUUGCUUUUGUCAUAAAGAUUUUCCACAGUUCUUAAUAGGUUUAUUCCUGAGUACCUUAUUAAUUUUGUUGCUUUUGUGAGUGGAAAAACUUUUCCUUUUUUCAUUUUGCUUUCCAAAUUUUAAUCAGUUUACUAAUCACUGUGCUUCAUUCACAGACACAUACACAGCAAAUGUGCUUUGUCCCUGGGCACACAAAUGAAAACACAGCACACAUGUAAAUCAGAGCUAAUUGGCUGAAAAUGAAUUAGAAUUUUUGAAUUAAAUUUUAAUUAUACAAGUAAUACAUGAAUAUAUUUUCCUUUAAAUAAAAUUAGAGCAUUUCAGGUAAAGAAGUCUCUACUGGCCUCCCCAACCUGUCCUCAGGCCCCUUCCCCACUUUAGAGGUAGCUGCUGUUAGGCAUUUGCUAUUGAUCCAAAAUGUUUUCCUAUGCGCAUUGAAACAUGUCCUGUGUUCUAUUGUUGUUUUUGUUUGCUUGCAUAGAUAUGGUGAUGUACACACUGGAGGUGCUGCUCCUGAGCUCAGGGAGCCUUACGGGACUCUCCUCGUGUCGCGUGUCACCUGCCGCAGCUGGCUCCACUGCCCCUUUCAGCUGGCCGCCGGCAACCAGAACCGAUUGUGCUAUGAUUUAUUUAGUUGUUGCUUGUUGAUCGACUAUUAAAAGGCUUCCAGUCUUGUUUCAAUAGGACAAACCUGUAACAGCAUUCUUGUAUAUGCCCCUUUUGCUCAUGUACAAGUAUUUCUCUGGGGCAGAUACUUAGAAACAGAAUUGGUGGGUCAUAGAGUCUACACAUCUUAAAUUCUGAUAGUAACUGCUAAAAUGUUCUUCAAAGUGCCUUUCUGAUUUAAUUUCAUGCCAGCAGUAUGUGUGUCCAUUUCUCCAGACCAUCUCCAAGUUUUACAUUUUAACCAAUCUGGUGGGUGAAAAAUAAUAUCUUGUUUUAGUUAGUAUUUUUCUGAAUUACCAGGAUGGCUAAAGUCUGUGUGUUUCCUAUCCAUUUAUAUUUCCUUCUCUGCAUUACUUGUCCAAAUUUUUUGCCCAUUUCUUUUUUUUAGGGUAUGUUAUCUUUUCCUUACUGAUUUUUUAGAAGUUCUUUAUGCAUUUUGUAUACUUUAUGUGUAUUGCAAAUAUUUUCUGUAUUGUGAUUCUUGUCAUUUAAUUGUAUUGUGUCUUUGGAGAAAUCUUAAAUUUUGAUACAGUCAAAUCGA